rnacentral:rRNA from 1 species
UACGUAGGGUGCGAGCGUUGUCCGGAAUUAUUGGGCGUAAAGAGCUCGUAGGCGGUGUGUCACGUCGUUCGUGAAAACCUGCAGCUUAACUGUGGGCGUGCGGUCGAUACGGGCAUCACUGGAGUUCGGCAGGGGAGACUGGAAUUCCUGGUGUAGCGGUGAAAUGCGCAGAUAUCAGGAGGAACACCAACGGCGAAGGCAGCUCGCUGGGACGGUACUGACGCUGAGACGCGAAAGCGUGGGGAGCGAACAGG